rnacentral:rRNA from 1 species
AGAGUUUGAUCAUGGCUCAGAUUGAACGCUGGCGGCAGGCCUAACACAUGCAAGUCGAACGGUAACAGGAAACAGCUUGCUGUUUCGCUGACGAGUGGCGGACGGGUGAGUAAUGUCUGGGAAACUGCCUGAUGGAGGGGGAUAACUACUGGAAACGGUAGCUAAUACCGCAUAACGUCGCAAGACCAAAGAGGGGGACCCUCGGGCCUCUUGCCAUCGGAUGUGCCCAGAUGGGAUUAGCUUGUUGGUGGGGUAACGGCUCACCAAGGCGACGAUCCCUAGCUGGUCUGAGAGGAUGACCAGCCACACUGGAACUGAGACACGGUCCAGACUCCUACGGGAGGCAGCAGUGGGGAAUAUUGCACAAUGGGCGCAAGCCUGAUGCAGCCAUGCCGCGUGUAUGAAGAAGGCCUUCGGGUUGUAAAGUACUUUCAGCGGGGAGGAAGGGAGUAAAGUUAAUACCUUUGCUCAUUGACGUUACCCGCAGAAGAAGCACCGGCUAACUCCGUGCCAGCAGCCGCGGUAAUACGGAGGGUGCAAGCGUUAAUCGGAAUUACUGGGCGUAAAGCGCACGCAGGCGGUUUGUUAAGUCAGAUGUGAAAUCCCCGGGCUCAACCUGGGAACUGCAUCUGAUACUGGCAAGCUUGAGUCUCGUAGAGGGGGGUAGAAUUCCAGGUGUAGCGGUGAAAUGCGUAGAGAUCUGGAGGAAUACCGGUGGCGAAGGCGGCCCCCUGGACGAAGACUGACGCUCAGGUGCGAAAGCGUGGGGAGCAAACAGGAUUAGAUACCCUGGUAGUCCACGCCGUAAACGAUGUCGACUUGGAGGUGUGCCCUUGAGGCGUGGCUUCCGGAGCUAACGCGUUAAGUCGACCGCCUGGGGAGUACGGCCGCAAGGUUAAAACUCAAAUGAAUUGACGGGGGCCCGCACAAGCGGUGGAGCAUGUGGUUUAAUUCGAUGCAACGCGAAGAACCUUACCUGGUCUUGACAUCCACGGAAGUUUUCAGAGAUGAGAAUGUGCCUUCGGGAACCGUGAGACAGGUGCUGCAUGGCUGUCGUCAGCUCGUGUUGUGAAAUGUUGGGUUAAGUCCCGCAACGAGCGCAACCCUUAUCCUUUGUUGCCAGCGGUCCGGCCGGGAACUCAAAGGAGACUGCCAGUGAUAAACUGGAGGAAGGUGGGGAUGACGUCAAGUCAUCAUGGCCCUUACGACCAGGGCUACACACGUGCUACAAUGGCGCAUACAAAGAGAAGCGACCUCGCGAGAGCAAGCGGACCUCAUAAAGUGCGUCGUAGUCCGGAUUGGAGUCUGCAACUCGACUCCAUGAAGUCGGAAUCGCUAGUAAUCGUGGAUCAGAAUGCCACGGUGAAUACGUUCCCGGGCCUUGUACACACCGCCCGUCACACCAUGGAAGUGGGUUGCAAAAGAAGUAGGUAGCUUAACCUUCGGGAGGGCGCUUACCACUUUGUGAUUCAUGACUGGGGUGAAGUCGUAACAAGGUA